ACGGGUGUAGCUCAGCUGGUAGAGCGAAGGUCUCCAAAACCUUAGGCCCUGGGUUCGAUCCCUAGCGCCCGUG
rnacentral:tRNA from 2 species